UCUCUCUUUCUCUCUCUCUCUCACACACACACACACACACACAGAGAGAGAGAGAGAGAGAGAGAGA